rnacentral:rRNA from 1 species
UCGGGAAUUUUGGGCAAUGGGGGAAACCCUGACCCAGCAACGCCGCGUGAAGGAUGAAGUAUUUCGGUAUGUAAACUUCGAAAGAAUAGGAAGAAUAAAUGACGGUACUAUUUAUAAGGUCCGGCUAACUACGUGCCAGCAGCCGCGGUAAUACGUAGGGACCAAGCGUUGUUCGGAUUUACUGGGCGUAAAGGGCGCGUAGGCGGCAUGACAAGUCACUUGUGAAAUCUCUGGGCUUAACCCAGAACGGCCAAGUGAUACUGUCGCGCUAGAGUGCAGAAGGGGCAAUCGGAAUUCUUGGUGUAGCAGUGAAAUGCGUAGAGAUGUGGAGGAACACCGAUGGCGAAGGCAGCCCCCUGGGUUAACACUGACGCUCAUGCACGAAAGCGUGGGGAGCAAACAGGAUUAGAUACCCCCGUAGUCCCUGAGCGGGCUGGCAAGGCGCAU